GAUGAACGCUAGCGGCAGGCUUAAUACAUGCAAGUCGAGGGGCAGCGCAGUGUAGCAAUACAUGGGCGGCGACCGGCAAACGGGUGCGGAACACGUACGCAACCUUCCUUUAAGUGGGGGAUAGCCCAGGGAAACUUGGAUUAAUACCCCGUAAUAUUAUGAAGUGGCAUCACUUUAUACUUAUAGCUCCGGCGCUUAAAGAUGGGCGUGCGACUGAUUAGGUAGUUGGCGGGGUAACGGCCCACCAAGCCUGCGAUCAGUAACUGGUGUGAGAGCAGUACCAGUCACACGGGCAAUGAGACACGGGCCCGACUCCGACGGGAGGCAGCAGUAAGGAAUGUUGGUCACUGGACGCAAGUUUGAACCAGCCAUGCCGCGUGGAGGAUGAAGGUCCUCUGGAUUGUAAACUUCUUUUAUUUGGGAAGAAACCCACUGUUUCUACGGUGGUUGACGGUACCAGAUGAAUAAGCACCGGCUAACUCCGUGCCAGCAGCCGCCGUAACAC
rnacentral:rRNA from 1 species